UACAGAGGUCUCAAGCGUUGUUCGGAUUCAUUGGGCGUAAAGGGUGCGCAGGCGGUAAAGAAAGUCAGGUGUGAAAUCCCGGAGCUCAACUCCGGAACUGCACUUGAUACUCCUUUGCUUGAGUGCUGGAGAGGAGACUGGAAUUUACGGUGUAGCAGUGAAAUGCGUAGAUAUCGUAAGGAAGACCAGUGGCGAAGGCGAGUCUCUAGACAGCUACUGACGCUGAGGCACGAAGGCCAGGGGAGCAAACGGG
rnacentral:rRNA from 1 species